rnacentral:rRNA from 1 species
UACGUAGGGUGCAAGCGUUAAUCGGAAUUACUGGGCGUAAAGCGUGCGCAGGCGGUUUCGCAAGUCAGAUGUGAAAGCCCCGGGCUUAACCUGGGAACUGCAUUUGAAACUACGAGGCUAGAGUGUGUCAGAGGGGGGUAGAAUUCCACGUGUAGCAGUGAAAUGCGUAGAGAUGUGGAGGAAUACCGAUGGCGAAGGCAAUCCCCUGGGCCUGCACUGACGCUCAUGCACGAAAGCGUGGGGAGCAAACAGG